CGAACGCACAUUGCUGGCCCGAAAAACCUGGCGUUUCGGGUCACGUACAUCCGAGGGUCG
rnacentral:rRNA from 1 species